CAAAAACCCUAAAAUAUGUUGCUACAAUUUUUAUUUAUUUAUUUUAUUUCCCGUUCCCGUGAGAUCUAUUUAUUCAAUUUACUAUAAUUUUUAUCUAUCUUUUACCAGGGAGAGAUUGACAACCACUCUUUUACGUCGGGUUGCAAAUAUUUGUUUAUUGUGUGCAUGUGUCGUUCACGUAGUGUUGCGUGGUUCUCCUACUGAUUCAAUAAACUUGGUCUCGUCAUUGAGAAAAAUACCUAUCGUAGUUGUGCUGCAUCAUCCCUUCCUCUUUGAGAAAAUACCGACAUAGUUCAAGCCGUAUUAGCCAGCUCCAGUACGACGAUUGUGUUGGCACCGACAAGAUAGGAAGCAUCUGGGGCGGUCGGCGGCUGGAUGGGUCUAGGCGAGAAGUCAAGGAGGCGGGCGUGAGAGCGAAGGGAGUGCAAAAGUAAAGAGAAGAGGUUUCCAUCCGCACUGGGUGAUGUUGACGCGGACGAGUCCAACAUGGCAGCGAACAUGCAUACAACCGGACUCCAACAAGUCGACCCACGGUUUGGAGAAAUGGGGCAUCGGCUUGACGUGUUGGGUUAGUUUUCCAGCCCAGUUGUGGAUGCAAAGAGACAAACGAACAUGUGCGAGCAUUUUAUGGCUGCCCCUUGGGAGAUGCCCUAAUGAGUUAAAUUUGAGAAGGAUAUAGAUCAGUAAUUCGCGUAUGAGUCGAGGCUACUUACCUACACCCGGUGAACAGUUAAUUCUUAGAAAAAAAAGUAAAACAAUAUGUUUUUUUCUACAUCAAAGAUGCUCAAAUGCUCAAGGAUGAUGAAAUAAUUUCGUGGUGUUUAAACAUUCGAGGAGCUCUAAGAAAAAAAAUUGACCCAAACAUUGUACUUUUUUGAAGUUUUUUUACUACCAAAUUUUGUUGUUUUUAACACAACCUCCUCGAAUGUCCAAACACCACUAACUUUUGCACAUACAUCACACAUUCAAGCAUUUUGGAUGAGAAAAAAAAAUAGGUUUUAAAAUUCAGAUUUGUUUGAUUUUUUUUUCCAUUUUAAAUGAAUUUAUUGUUCACUUCCAAUGCACCCAGGCACCGAAUCGUUGCACUUAGAUAUAGAUGCUCUACAUAGGCAAGGGCAUGUUCUUCUGAUCAUAUCAUCGUACUCAGCGUACCACAUCGUCAAUGGAGUUGGCAAAGUAUGACUAAGAGCAUCUCCAAAAGCUGCCCUAUUUUAAGACGUCAAAAGUUGAUGGAGUAAAAAGUUUGGACACGAGAACUGGUAUUUUAGGCACGAGCAAAUGUGGUCUCCAACAGCAGCUCUAUAAUAGAGCACGACUGCUCCAAGGCUGCACCAUAUCUUUAUUUUAGACAUAUCAUCAAACUGUUGCAGUGCACAAUUACAACACCUCUCAGUAGCCCUUGCCAGGAAACGAUGCAAAAAAGAAUCGAUUAAUUCGGGAGAAGUUUCUCCCUAAUAAUAAUAAAGCACGGAUUAAGUUUCUGGAUUCACCGUCGUGGCGCUCUUGUAAAAAAGUCCCUGAUGAAUUACGUGUUGAACGCGCAGUCCUAUUUUAAGUUUGUAGAGAAAACGUUUCGUGGAUCGACUUGGGCCUUACGAGCGAACAGAAAAACAUAGGCACACACGAGCACGAGGGCUCGCCUUCGAUGCGUACGGGUACGCCGCUGCCGCCGCCGCUGCCGCACGCCGCCUCUGCGGCCAUCCGCCGCCGCUGCCGCGCGCGGCCUCUCUGCCACCCGUCGCCCCGUUCUCCUUCCCCUCCCCAUCCGUCCCAAUCUUCUCCGGCGCCACCUGAAGCCCCCUCAACCUGCAACCUCCUGCCAUCGAGCCCUUCUAAUCUCGCUGGACCAUGGACUUAACCGGAACGCCGUCCUGCUAGCCGUGCCCACUUGAGCGAGGAGAGAGUGGUGAGGCGGCUUAGUGAGGCUCAGGACGGCGUCUCGCAUGUAAGUACGCCACUCCUGCGUCUCUAUGCUAAUCCGAGUGCAGUACUCUACACAAUGCUCUACUUCUUCCUAAAAAAUAUCUGUUGAAUGCCCCAUGACUGGUUUGCACUUCUGGUGUUCGACAGUAUGCCUAAGCAGUGACCGCAUCCACGAUGUUAUUCAGUUCUUUGUCUCAUGUAAGAGUAUUAUGAUAUAUGAGAUGCUUGAAUGAAGGGAUCCUUGAUUAAUUUGUCCACAAGUAGCCCAAGGAUUUGGGAGUUUAGGGUUUGUUAUGAGUAGUUAGCUGCCUGUGAUGUGUGCCCAAACAAAUUGUCAUGUAAAUCAUUAUGAACACUUGAUUUUCUUGUGGCGCCAUCCAAGUGGGCGGAGGCAGCGGCUGCCACCACGGUGUCAUCCUUCUCCCACACCUUCGUCGCGGGACCGGAUUCACAAUGACGCCAUCGCAUCUAGCGACGACGCAAGCUCAUGUGGGUGCCGCAACUUCCAAGGACAUGGGAGUCUCCAUGGGCAGCGAGUACGUGAGCACACUCACACACCACAGCUCUCAAGGAUGCGGGAGCCACCUCAGCCCGCGAGGACUCGUGAACCAUGCUCAGGUGAAGAUAUUAUUGUUAUGCUGAUCAUGGAGGAUGGAUAUUUCUUUGAGCUUCUAUUGUCGAUAGGGACGCUGUAGUGAGAUUUCUAUCGAACUGAAGAUAUUGAAGUUGAAGGUUGGCACUCGUGGGGCUUGCUUGUAUGAGCACUGUUAGGUAUGUGGUGUCAACAAGUUACCCUUAGAAGUAUACUAAACUUAUGUACGCAAAUAUCACUAGCUUUUGCACGCACGUGGGUGCUAAUUCUUCCUUGGAUUUUUCGAACACAAAUAGCACUACCUUUCAUUUCACACACCAGGGUGCUAAUUCUUCAAAGUAUAAUUCUAUAAAAUAUGAAUUUAAAUUUAGGUAGGUCUAUCUUACAUAUGCAAACUCAUCUCAGGCAUUUUCCUUUAGCUACACAAUUUAGUCAAGUUCUCUUUUUGUAUUACCAUUCAGCAAACCUCUAUAUUUAAUUACUCGCCUAACCAAGAGAAUGAGUUACUAUUUAGUUUCUUCUGAUCUGCUCUGUUGCAAAUUAGGCAAUCUUACACACUAGCUCGAAAUGAUAUUCUUUAAUGUUCAUAAGAAUAAUAAUUGUAAUACGACACCAAUUUGGACAUAAAUGUGAAGUUAGUGUAGAAAAUUUUAUAUAGAGAAAAUCACGGUUUUUUAUUAUUAUACAGGGAAACCAUAAAUCAAGAACCACCUCUGACACCCCCCCCCCCCCCCCCCCCCCCCCCCC